rnacentral:rRNA from 1 species
GACGAACGCUGGCGGCGUGCCUAAUACAUGCAAGUCGAGCGGACAGUUGGGAGCUUGCUCCCAACUGUUAGCGGCGGACGGGUGAGUAACACGUGGGUAACCUGCCUGUAAGACUGGGAUAACUUCGGGAAACCGGAACUAAUACCGGAUAACUCUUCGGACCGCAUGGUCUGAAGAUAAAAGAUGGCCUCGGCUAUCACUUAUAGAUGGACCCGCGGCGCAUUAGCUAGUUGGUGUGGUAAUGGCUCACCAAGGCAACGAUGCGUAGCCGACCUGAGAGGGUGAUCGGCCACACUGGGACUGAGACACGGCCCAGACUCCUACGGGAGGCUG